GGAAGGCGGUGAUCGUGCUCCAGGGCCGGUACGCCGGCCGGAAGGCCGUCAUCAUCCGGAACUUCGACGACGGCACGCGGGACCGCCCCUACGGCCACUGCCUCGUCGCCGGGAUCAAGAAGUACCCGAGCAAGGUCAUCAAGAAGGACUCGACCAAGAAGACGGGCAAGAAGUCGCGGGUGAAGACGUUCGUGAAGCUCGUCAACUACCGGCACCUGAUGCCCACCCGCUACACCCUCGACGUCGACCUCAAGGACGUUGUCAACCCGGACUGCCUCCAGAGCAAGGACAAGAAGGUCACCGCCGCCAAGGAGACCAAGAAGAGGCUCGAGGAGAGGUUCAAGACGGGCAAGAACAGGUGGUUCUUUACCAAGCUCAGGUUCUGAUUUCGAG
rnacentral:lncRNA from 1 species